rnacentral:miRNA from 1 species
GCAGACACAUUCCAGCCAAUCAGCAGCAGAUCCUCCCUCCAGACCCUCCCACCUCCUGGACAGCAUCCAUUUUACAUUCAUUGUGAAGCUGCAUUCUUAGUGAGCUGUCCAGGAGAUGGGAGGGUCUGGGAGGGAGGGUUUGCUGCUGAUUGGCUGGAAUGUGUCUG